UACGUAGGGGGCGAGCGUUGUCCGGAAUUAUUGGGCGUAAAGAGCGUGUAGGCGGUUCGGUAAGUCUGCCGUGAAAACCUGGGGCUCAACCCUGGGCGUGCGGUGGAUACUGCCGGGCUAGAGGGUGGUAGAGGCGAGUGGAAUUCCCGGUGUAGCGGUGAAAUGCGCAGAUAUCGGGAGGAACACCAGUAGCGAAGGCGGUUCUCUGGGCAUUACCUGACGCUGAGGAGCGAAAGUGUGGGGAGCGAACAGG
rnacentral:rRNA from 1 species